AAGUCGUAACAAGGUUUCCGUAGGUGAACCUGCGGAAGGAUCAUUAAAGAGAUCUGGGUCCUCCGGGGCCCGACCUCCCACCCUCUGUUGUCGCGAAUCUGUUGCUUCGGCUGGACCGCUCGGUGUAGACCGAGCGAUCGCGCUCAGGCGCGACCAGCUCCAGCCGGAGUCGAAAAACCAAAACCUUUGAACAUAACCUUGAUAGUCAGAGUAAAUUCGAGCUCCAGCAAUGGGGGGAGAUGCAAACUUAAAA
rnacentral:misc_RNA from 1 species